AAGUGGGGAAAAUGGACAACCCUGCUGGUAUCUUGUGAGCCCUUGUCACAGAACAGAGCUUGAACAAUUUCGAUUAAAGCAGUAUGUUCGAGACUGUCAUUAGACCUGCAUUAAAUUACAUAUCUGGAAUGUUAAAAAUAAAGAGUACUGAAGCUUAUUCACAGCUGCCUGUGGUAAAGGACCUUAGUAAUGGGACAUCACAGCCUGUUCCAGUCAGUGAGACCAUCCAGUUCAUCCUGUUAUUUGUGGUGGCUUUAGAGACUUUCACCCACCUGAAGGACAAACCCCAAGCUUUUGGAUGCUGCUCAGCCAGGACAAACCCCAAAGCAUGGAAGCACAUGAGACAAACUCGGUAUCCGAUGUCGCACCUGGGAUACAUCACACUCCUCAAGAACAUCUGCAGACCACAAGGAGGAUUCAAGAGGAUGUGGAGGAGGCCCUCUAACAACCCCAUCUCACCAAGGGGGACCUCUCAGCGUGGUCACCUCAGACAGAGGCACCAGCCAGGUGGGAAUUUCAGGGGGUGGUGCCAUGGCUUUUGUGGUGGAAGCCAUCCCGAGCCAUGGGCUGUCUGCACAGGCAGGAACCAAAGGGCUAUCCCAAUGCAGCUUGGCCAACACGUUGAUCUCUUCACACUGUGGUGUCAGGCCUCAAGAAGGGCUAUUGGGAUGAGGGGUUGGAUGUUUCCAUGCCUGGAACUGUGUUUUCCAGUACUCUGGUUGUUCGAGAGUGUUAAGAGACAGGGCAGCGAAAGGAUUUGUGAACUGGCUGCUUGGUUUGUGACAAAAAAAAGUGUCAUUGAUAUUAAUAGCUCUGAGCUCCAGUGCAGACCUGAACAGCCCAGGGAAAUGGCAGAACAAAAGGAGACAGAAACAAGAUGGCACUGA
rnacentral:lncRNA from 1 species